ensembl:snRNA U6 U6 spliceosomal RNA
GUGCUUCUUGUACACAUACACUAAAACUUCAAUGAUGCAAAGACGAUGAGCAUGGCCACUGCCCAAGGGUGACAUGCAAAUUCAUGAAAUGUUCUACACUAAA